rnacentral:ncRNA from 2 species
AGGCGGAGACUUGGGCAAUUG